CCUGUUUAGCUUAGCUUCCUACUUUGUAUUAAUAUACCUACUCAGCCUUUUUAGUUCUAUUUGCACAGUUUGUAUAUGACUUUUACCCACAAGUCGAUAUAGUUGAUAUGAGUACAAUUUAAGAACUAUGCAAUGGACAUUUUGCCUGUAGCACUUUUUACUGGUCCAUUUGUAAUGUUAUCAAUACCUGUCUACUACAGCCGAAUGAGACUGAAAACCAGAUAAUAUGGUAGUUUGCGACAUUGUAUUUCAUACGAACCUUAUAACUUUAACAUUGCAGGUAAUCAUGUCAUUUUCGUCAUCAAUGCUCAAUGCCCGGAUACUUCAACCUUUCUCUCCAGCG